GACGAACGCUGGCGGCGUGCUUAACACAUGCAAGUCGAACGGAAAGGCCCUGCUUUUGCGGGGUGCUCGAGUGGCGAACGGGUGAGUAACACGUGAGUAACCUGCCCUUGACUUUGGGAUAACUUCAGGAAACUGGGGCUAAUACCGGAUAGGAGCUCCUGCUGCAUGGUGGGGGUUGGAAAGUUUCGGCGGUUGGGGAUGGACUCGGGGCUUAUCAGCUUGUUGGGGGGGUAGUGGCUUACCAGGGCUUUGACGGGUAGCCGGCCUGGGAGGGGGAACGGCCACAUUGGGACUGAGAUACGGACCAGACUCCUACGGGAGGCAGCAGUGGGGAAUAUUGCACAAUGGGCGGAAGCCUGAUGCAGCAGCGCCGCGUGCGGGAAGACGGCCUUCGGGUUGUAAACCGCUUUCGCCUGUGACGAAGCGUGAGUGACGGUAAUGGGUAAAGAAGCACCGGCUAACUACGUG
rnacentral:rRNA from 1 species